GCUCCGUUAGCUCAGCGGAUAGAGCGUCUGGCUUCGGACCAGAAGGUCGGGAGUUCGAAUCUCUCACGGAGUACCA
rnacentral:tRNA from 3 species